rnacentral:rRNA from 1 species
GACAGAGGGUGCAAACGUUGUUCGGAUUUACUGGGUGUAAAGGGCGCGUAGGCGGCGUGACAAGUCACUUGUGAAAUCUCCGGGCUUAACUCGGAACGGUCAAGUGAUACUGUCGUGCUAGAGUACAGAAGGGGCAACUGGAAUUCUCGGUGUAGCGGUGAAAUGCGUAGAUAUCGAGAGGAACACCUGCGGCGAAGGCGGGUUGCUGGGCUGAUACUGACGCUGAGGCGCGAAAGCUAGGGGAGCGAACGGG